AUGUGGUAACCAAGAAUUUGGAAGUGUAAUACCGCUAAAUUUAUCUUUCUGAUUCGAAAGUAAAACACUAAAACUUGGAGUAAGUUAGAAGACUUCAUUACCGAAUGGUGGCGGGUGGCGAAUUUCAAGAGAGAACAAGCGUAAUGUUUGUGAUGUUUGGUUUGAUACUGUAAACCAGUAGAAAAAGCAGCCAUUUGUUCUUCUGUGCAAGAAUGACCAGCAAAUUGAAGUUGAUAGUAAAUGGCCAUUUCAUUGUACUUGCUUCGUCGAGUUCCUUUGUUGAGAGCUUCCAUUCCAACGCCAUGGGUAUAUGUAAUCUAGGAGAAACGCAUGGAAGGAGACCAAUCGCAGCAUUUCUUUUCUCUUCAUCUAUAAAAUAGUUUAUAAAUAAAAGUCAGUGUUUUUGGACUUUAGAUGAAGAAAGUAUUUCAUGUAUUACAUAUGUUUCAUGCACAUGUAACUGUUUUUGCAAUUUUCACCGGAAUUCAGGUUUCUUGUAUAUUCAA